UAUCAGUCCGCUGCAGAAAACUAUUUUUAUCGAGGUCGUUCAACCCCAGCUCUGAGACGCAUCACAGAUAUGCCCACAAAAGUUCCCCAGCCGACAAGGAAAUAAAUCCCGUGCCAGACAGACUCGAACACUUGGCCAGGCAGCAAGGGGAGUGUGAGUCCUGCCUGCGAUCCCGGAGCUGCAGGGAAACUUUUGAGCUGAAAAUCAAGUGACAAUAAAAGGGACUGAACUCAGUAACCUUUAAAGAGGAUUUUCAAACGUACGGAAAAGUACAGAGAAGAAGAAAAUGCCUGUUCCUUACAGGUUCCAGUCUUCGGAGAGAACACUCUGCAGUCAGACUUCCUGGGUUCAAAUCCGGACUCUACCACGUACUAAUUAAGUGACCUUGUGUCAGUUUCUUACCCUCUCUGCACCUGUGCUUCCUCACUUGCAAAAGAAGGAUAACAUAGCCCUUAGUUCUUUGGGUCUUUAUGAAAAGCAAAUGAGUUCAUACCUAUAAAGGAAUAGACCCAUGCUGGGCAAGCAACACUAACAGACACCAUUUUAGGGACUUUACAUGUAUAAAUUACAGUUGCACCUUGAAUAAGGUGCAGGUUGGGCCACUGCCCUCCACCCCUACCUCCUGUUCAGUCGAAAAUCUGUGUGUGACUUUUGACUGUCCCCAAACUUAACUACCAGUAGACAACUGUGGACCAGAAGCCGUACCAAUAACAUGAACACUCGAUUAACACCACUUUUGCAUGUUCUGUGUAUUAUACACUGUCUUCUUACAAUGAAAUAAGCUAGAGGGAAGAAAAUAUUAUUAAGGAAAUCACAAGGAGGGGCGC